GACGUAGGAUGCAAGCGUUGUCCGGAUUUAUUGGGCGUAAAGAGUUCGUAGGUGGUUCACUAAGUCUGAUGUUAAAGAUCAGGGCCCAACCCUGGGAUUGCAUUGGAUACUGGUGGACUGGAGUGCAGUAGAGGCAAGCGGAAUUCCCAGUGUAGCGGUGAAAUGCGUAGAUAUUGGGAAGAACACCGGUGGCGCAAGCGGCUUGCUGGGCUGUAACUGACGCUGAGGAACGAAAGCUAGGGGAG
rnacentral:rRNA from 1 species